GAUGAACGCUGGCGGCGUGCCUAAUACAUGCAAGUCGAGCGAAGCGGGGACGGGUGAGUAACACGUGGAUAACCUCCUAUAAGACUGGGAUAACUUCGGGAAACCGGAGCUAAACCGGAUACUUAUCGAUGGAUCCGCGCUGCAUAAGCUAGUUGGUAAGGUAACGGCUUACCAAGGCAACGAUGCAUAACCGACCUGAGAGGAUGAUCUGCCAAACUGGACCUGAGAAAGGAUCAAGACUCCAACGGGAGGCAUCAGUAGGGAAUGUUCCGGAAUGGGCGAACGCCUAACGAGGCAACGCCGAGGGAGUGAUAAAGGUCUUCGGAUCGUAAAACUCUGUUAUUAGGGAAGCGGUACCUAAUCAGAAAGCCACGGCUCACUACGUGCCAGCAGCCGCGGUAAUAC
rnacentral:rRNA from 1 species